AGUCGCCCUCCGUCGUGGCCUGGCGUGGAUUCCGAGCGUUGGUGUCUGGCGGUUUCCGACCGUUGGUGUCUGGCACGCGCCACCCCGAUGUACCAGGUAAAGCCCUAUCACGGGGUCGGCGCCCCUCUCCGUGUGGAGCCCACCUGCAUGUACUGGCUCCCCAACAUGCACGGCAGGAGCGGCGGCCCAGCACUCGGCACUGGCCACUUGCAGACAAGAAGACAAGAAAAUGAUUUGAGGACAGCUUCAAUCGCGGUGUGAAGAAGAAAGCAACAAAACGACCACUGAAAACAAUGCCGGUGGCAAAACAUCCAAAGAAAGGGUCCCAAGUGGUACAUCGUCAUAGCUGGAAACAGUCAGAGCCACCAGCCAAUGAUCUUUUCAAUGCUGCGAAAGCUGCCAAAAGUGACAUGCAGGUAAAGCAGUGUCUUACCUCUGUUGAUACCAUCUCACUUUUUGUAAGGUGGUAAGGACAAGUGUCUACAAACUUGAUUUGAUGUGAACAUUUUAGUGAGUG
rnacentral:lncRNA from 1 species